rnacentral:rRNA from 1 species
ACGAACGCUGGCGGCGUGCAUAAAACAUGCAAGUCGAACGGGGCUCAGCCGCAAGGUUGAGCCUAGUGGCGAACGGCUGAGUAACACGUAGGUGACCUGCCCCGGAGUGGGGGAUAACCCCUCGAAAGAGGAGCUAAUACCGCAUGCGAUCACCGGUCCGUUCCGGUGGUCAAAGGCGCAAGCCGCUUCGGGAGGGGCCUGCGGCGGAUCAGUUAGUUGGUGGGGUAAUGGCUCACCAAGACAAGGAUCCGUAGCUGGUCUGAGAGGAUGGCCAGCCAGACUGGGACUGAGACACGGCCCAGACUCCUACGGGAGGCAGCAGUUAGGGAUCUUGUGCAAUGGGGGAAACCCUGACACAGCAACGCCGCGUGAGGGAUGAAGGCCUUCGGGUCGUAAACCUCUUUUCUGAGGGAAGAAACCUGACGGUACCUCAGGAAUAAGCAACGGCUAACUACGU